AUUGAACGCUGGCGGCAUGCCUUACACAUGCAAGUCGAACGGUAACAGGUCUUCGGAUGCUGACGAGUGGCGAACGGGUGAGUAAUACAUCGGAACGUGCCCGAGAGUGGGGGAUAACGAAGCGAAAGCUUUGCUAAUACCGCAUACGAUCUCAGGGUGAAAGCAGGGGACCGCAAGGCCUUGCGCUCACGGAGCGGCCGAUGGCAGAUUGGGUAGUUGGUGGGAUAAAAGCUUACCAAGCCGACGAUCUGUAGCUGGUCUGAGAGGACGACCAGCCACACUGGGACUGAGACACGGCCCAGACUCCUACGGGAGGCAGCAGUGGGGAAUUUUGGACAAUGGGCGCAAGCCUGAUCCAGCCAUGCCGCGUGCAGGAUGAAGGCCUUCGGGUUGUAAACUGCUUUUGUACGGAACGAAAAGACUCCUUCUAAUAAAGGGGGUCCAUGACGGUACCGUAAGAAUAAGCACCGGCUAACUACGUGCCAGCAGCCGCCGUAAAAC
rnacentral:rRNA from 1 species